rnacentral:lncRNA from 1 species
CUUCUGAGACAGAGUCACUGUCGCCCCGGCUAGAGUGCAGUGGCGUGAUCUCAGCUCACUGCAACCUCCAUCUCCCGGGUUCAAGUGAUUCUCCUGCUUCAGCCUCCCAAGUAGCUGGGAUUACAGGUGCCCACCACCACACCCAGCUAAUUUUUGUAUUUUUAGUAGAGACGGGGUUUCACCAUGUUGGCCAGGCUAGUCUCGAACUCCUGACCUCAGGUGAUCCACCCGCCUUAACCUCCCAAAGUGCUGGGAUUAUAGGCGUGAGCCACUGCACCCAGCUGGAAAAUACUUCUUAAAUGCAAUUUAUAAGCAUGUGUAUUAGUUUCCUAUUGCUGGUAUAACAAAUUACUACAAACUUAGUGGCUUAAAACAACACAGAUGUGUUGUCUUACAGUUCUAGAGGUUAGUUCUAAAUAGGUCUCACUGAGCUAAAUCCACGGUGUCAGCAGAGCUGUGUUCUUUCCUAGAGCUUCUAGGGGAGAAUCUGUUUUCCUGCCUUUUCCAGCAUCUAGCAUUUAUUUUGUUUUGUUUUUCCCUCCUCUGUGGUUGUCAGUGGUCACUUUUUAAAUUUUGGUUUUGUCAGUGUGACUUCCUUUAACAACUUCCUUCCUCUUCUCCUUUGCUAUGGAAAAUAGUAACUAGGAUACCAAUCUAGUUAAACUUGUAAGUAAAAUGAGGUAAAGUGAGAUCCUAAUAAAGAUACAAGAUACUUACAAGUGAAGUGUAUGAGAUUUAAGACAAAACCAGAGUGACGCUGCAGGCAGGACUGCCCAUUCCAUCUGGAAUGCAUGACUGUCUGUCAUCUAUUUGGCUACUUAGAAACUAUUUUUACCUCUUCUCUAUUUUUGUUCUGAAUAGG